rnacentral:rRNA from 1 species
AGUGAACGCUGGCGGUAGGCCUAACACAUGCAAGUCGAACGGCAGCACAGUAAGAGCUUGCUCUUACGGGUGGCGAGUGGCGGACGGGUGAGGAAUACAUCGGAAUCUACUUUUUCGUGGGGGAUAACGUAGGGAAACUUACGCUAAUACCGCAUACGACCUACGGGUGAAAGCAGGGGAUCUUCGGACCUUGCGCGAUUGAAUGAGCCGAUGUCGGAUUAGCUAGUUGGCGGGGUAAAGGCCCACCAAGGCGACGAUCCGUAGCUGGUCUGAGAGGAUGAUCAGGCACACUGGAACUUAGACACGGUCCAGACUCCUACGGGAGGCAGCAGUGGGGAAUAUUGGACAAUGGGCGCAAGCCUGAUCCAGCCAUACCGCGUGGGUGAAGAAGGCCUUCGGGUUGUAAAGCCCUUUUGUUGGGAAAGAAAAGCAGCAGGUUAAUACCCCGCUGUUCUGACGGUACCCAAAGAAUAAGCACCGGCUAACUUCGUG